UGGUGGAGGCCGGAUCCUGGGCUGUGUCCCAGCGCCCUGUGCUCCGGAGCCUGCGCUGGUGGAUUCGCGCUCCCGGGCCGCCGCCGCGCAGCCCCCU
rnacentral:pre_miRNA from 1 species